rnacentral:rRNA from 1 species
GACGAACGCUGGCGGCGUGCUUAACACAUGCAAGUCGAACGGAAAGGCCCUGCUUUUGUGGGGUGCUCGAGUGGCGAACGGGUGAGUAACACGUAAGUAACCUGCCCUUCACUUUGGGAUAACUUCAGGAAACUGGGUCUAAUACCGUAUAGGAGCUCCUGCUUCAUGGUGGGGGUUGGAUAGUUUCGGCGGUUGGGGAUGGACUCGCGGCUUAUCAGCUUGUUGGUGGGGUAGUGGCUUACCAAGGCUUUGACGGGUAGCCGGCCUGAGAGGGUGACCGGCGACAAUGGGAAUGAGAUACGGCCCAGACGCGUAGGGGAGGCAGCAGUGGGGAAUAUGGAACAAUGGGCGGAAGCCUGAGGAAGAAACGCCGCGUGAGGGAUGACGGCCUUCGGGUUGUAAACCGCUGUAGCCUGAGACGAAGCGUGAGUGACGGUAAUGGGUAAAGAAGCACCGGCUAACUACGUG